CGUGUACUGAGACUCGACAAAUCGAGUCGUCCUUUACUCUUAUUGUUAUGCUAAUUUGAGCAUGUGAGAGUUGAGCCGUAAAAGUCCGUGCAAUUUAACAGUCACUUUUACCUUGAAAACCAAACGGAGAGGACGUUAAAACAAUUUAGAGAAAUAUUACAUCAAGAUCAGUAUAGAUUGCAUUAGUUUAUUUAGCAAGUCAUAUUUUAAAUUUAAUUCGAAUUUAAAGAUUUCAUUUGUGUUUUUUGAAAUAGUUUAAUUAAUUUCUUACUUCGUCGAAUUAUAUAUGCGGCCACGUGGUAUUGAAAACAUUUUUAAAUGAAUAAUCUUUACAUUUUUAUACAUGAAUUGCCUAAAUAUGUUUAAUUACACAUUUUAUUUUAUCGUUGAUUCAGAACGUUAAAGUACACCUGCUAUAAUGCGUAAAGACAGAAUUGGUCGACGAAGAAAUGGAAAUGGGCGCGCACGAGUGCCUGUUGUUGAAGCGCAACCCCCAGAGAGACGUCGCGGAAGGAGAAAUCGUGGUGUUGCUGCACCGGGAGUUCAAGAAUUUGGGGCAGUUGUGGGUGAGGUACAAGAACCUGUUCCUCUACAAAUCCAGUCUCCUAUGCCAAUUGAAGGACAACCUGCCAUGCAAGGUCCCGUUACACCAGCACUCAACGUACAAGCGCCAUUUGCGCAAGUUGAGAUACCAGCUCCUGUGCCAAUGCCUAAUCAAAAUGCUAGUGAAUUGACCACUUAUAUGUCAAUCAUUAGAGGUACACAAGUUUGUUUUGAGAAGAUUUAUCGUUACGACCAGCAAUUUAGAUUAAGAAUGGCAAACAGUCCUACUAGAUCUUGGUCUUCCAUUGAUGGCAUUUUAUGGUACACUGUCAUAGCUAAUGGGGAACCGGAAUGUAAUACAAUUCAACAGACAAGUCUAGGUAAUCGACCAUGCU